UGCGUAGGCGGGUAGGUAAGUCAGUGGUGAAAUCCUAGAGCUUAAUUCUAGAACUGCCAUUGAUACUAUCUAUCUUGAAUAUUGUGGAGGUAAGCGGAAUAUGUCAUGUAGCGGUGAAAUGCUUAGAUAUGACAUAGAACACCCAUUGCGAAGGCAGCUUACUACACAUAUAUUGACGCUGAGGCACGAAAGCGUGGGGAUCAAACAGGAUUAGAUACCCUGGUAGUCCACGCCCUAAACGAUGAUUACUCGACAUACGCAAUACACCGUGUGUGUCUGAGCGAAAGCAUUAAGUAAUCCACCUGGGAAGUACGAUCGCAAGAUUGAA
rnacentral:rRNA from 1 species